rnacentral:rRNA from 1 species
GGCUCAGAUUGAACGCUGGCGGCAGGCCUAACACAUGCAAGUCGAACGGUAACAGGAAGCAGCUUGCUGCUUUGCUGACGAGUGGCGGACGGGUGAGUAAUGUCUGGGAAACUGCCUGAUGGAGGGGGAUAACUACUGGAAACGGUAGCUAAUACCGCAUAACGUCGCAAGACCAAAGAGGGGGACCUUCGGGCCUCUUGCCAUCGGAUGUGCCCAGAUGGGAUUAGCUAGUAGGUGGGGUAACGGCUCACCUAGGCGACGAUCCCUAGCUGGUCUGAGAGGAUGACCAGCCACACUGGAACUGAGACACGGUCCAGACUCCUACGGGAGGCAGCAGUGGGGAAUAUUGCACAAUGGGCGCAAGCCUGAUGCAGCCAUGCCGCGUGUAUGAAGAAGGCCUUCGGGUUGUAAAGUACUUUCAGCGGGGAGGAAGGGAGUAAAGUUAAUACCUUUGCUCAUUGACGUUACCCGCAGAAGAAGCACCGGCUAACUCCGUGCCAGCAGCCGCGGUAAUACGGAGGGUGCAAGCGUUAAUCGGAAUUACUGGGCGUAAAGCGCACGCAGGCGGUUUGUUAAGUCAGAUGUGAAAUCCCCGGGCUCAACCUGGGAACUGCAUCUGAUACUGGCAAGCUUGAGUCUCGUAGAGGGGGGUAGAAUUCCAGGUGUAGCGGUGAAAUGCGUAGAGAUCUGGAGGAAUACCGGUGGCGAAGGCGGCCCCCUGGACGAAGACUGACGCUCAGGUGCGAAAGCGUGGGGAGCAAACAGGAUUAGAUACCCUGGUAGUCCACGCCGUAAACGAUGUCGACUUGGAGGUUGUGCCCUUGAGGCGUGGCUUCCGGAGCUAACGCGUUAAGUCGACCGCCUGGGGAGUACGGCCGCAAGGUUAAAACUCAAAUGAAUUGACGGGGGCCCGCACAAGCGGUGGAGCAUGUGGUUUAAUUCGAUGCAACGCGAAGAACCUUACCUGGUCUUGACAUCCACAGAACUUUCCAGAGAUGGAUUGGUGCCUUCGGGAACUGUGAGACAGGUGCUGCAUGGCUGUCGUCAGCUCGUGUUGUGAAAUGUUGGGUUAAGUCCCGCAACGAGCGCAACCCUUAUCCUUUGUUGCCAGCGGUCCGGCCGGGAACUCAAAGGAGACUGCCAGUGAUAAACUGGAGGAAGGUGGGGAUGACGUCAAGUCAUCAUGGACCUUACGACCAGGGCUACAAACGUGCUACAAUGGCGCAUACAAAGAGAAGCGACCUCGCGAGAGCAAGCGGA